AUUGAACGCUGGCGGCAUGCCUAACACAUGCAAGUCGAACGGCAGCACGGCAGUAGCAAUACUGUGGGUGGCGAGUGGCGGACGGGGUGAGGAAUACGUCGGAAUCUGCCCAGUCGUGGGGGAUAACUAGCCGAAAGGUUAGCUAAUACCGCAUACGACCGAGAGGUGAAAGCGGGGGACCGCAAGGCCUCGCGCGAUUGGAUGAGCCGACGUCGGAUUAGCUAGUUGGUGGGGUAAAGGCCCACCAAGGCGACGAUCCGUAGCUGGUCUGAGAGGAUGAUCAGCCACACUGGAACUGAGACACGGUCCAGACUCCUACGGGAGGCAGCAGUGGGGAAUAUUGGACAAUGGGCGCAAGCCUGAUCCAGCAAUGCCGCGUGUGUGAAGAAGGCCUUCGGGUUGUAAAGCACUUUUAUCAGGAACGAAAAGCGUUGGAUUAAUACUCUGACGUGCUGACGGUACCUGAGGAAUAAGCACCGGCUAACUUCGUG
rnacentral:rRNA from 1 species